GGCCAAAUCCGGCCGAUCCGGCCACCGAUUGGACCGGGUCUUGUGUCUAAAAUCAUCUACUCGGCGAGAGCUUUCCAUAGACACCAAGAACGCCGAAAUCCAUCGAGCGGUUUGUCCGAUUUUUGCUCGGGAAGAUUUUAGCCCAUUUCGACUUUUGGGCUAGAUUUCUCGAAAACCGUGAAUCCCACGAGGAAACCGAGGCCACCAGCACGCUCCAUUCGUCGAGAGCUUCGCAACGACAUAAAUUUCGAAUUUUUCCGACACCGUUUUUUGGUGGGUCCCACGGAACUUCGCAGUGUAUCCUCGAUUCGCGGAAAUUCGACAGUUGACCGGGUCUGCAAAUUUCGGGCCAGACAGACCCGUGACCGGAAAAGUCUCCGAAUUGGGCCGAGGUUUUGGCUAGCCCCCCAUUGUCAGACGUCCCGAGCGCGUCCCCGAAGUCGGAAUCGGCAAAGGUGAGCCGGGACAGCCUUCUUCCUCCGCCCAGCCGCCACAGUAAUUUGUCGUCAAGUCUGCCACAGGAGGAUAUUUUGUUCUGGGUUAACCUGCCUUUUUACCUCGCAGGUUGUUUAUCAAUAUUGUGUAAUUUUAAUUACUCCUAGAAUUUCCGCAUGUGUUAGCAGUAAUUAUUUGAAAUUGGUCUGUAAUAUUAUAUUCAUGUUGGACCUGUAAACUUAAUAUUUUAAGUC